rnacentral:rRNA from 1 species
CAAUGGGGGCAACCCUGAUCCAGCAAUGCCGCGCGAGUGAUGAAGGCCUUAGGGUUGUAAAGCUCUUUCGGCGGGGACGAUGAUGACGGUACCCGCAGAAGAAGCCCCGGCUAACUUCGUGCCAGCAGCCGCGGUAAUACGAAGGGGGCGAGCGUUGUUCGGAUUUACUGGGCGUAAAGGGCGCGUAGGUGGUUUUGGUAGUCAGGCGUGAAAGCCCCGGGCUUAACCUGGGAAUUGCGCUUGAUACUCUGAGACUGGAGUACGGGAGAGGAGAGUGGAAUUCCCAGUGUAGAGGUGAAAUUCGUAGAUAUUGGGAAGAACACCGGUGGCGAAGGCGGCUCUCUGGACCGUAACUGACACUGAUGCGCGAAAGCGUGGGGAGCAAACAGGAUUAGAUACCCUGGUAGUCCACGCCGUAAACGAUGUGCGCUAGACGUUGGAAGGCUUAGCUUUUCAGUGUCGUAGCUAACGCGAUAAGCGCACCGCCUGGGGAGUA